rnacentral:rRNA from 1 species
UACGUAGGGACCGAGCGUUGUCCGGAAUCAUUGGGCGUAAAGAGCGUGUAGGCGGCCACUUAAGUCCUGCGUGAAAUCUUGCGGCUCAACCGCAAGCGGUCGUGGGAAACUGGGUGGCUAGAGUGCGGGAGAGGAGAGUGGAAUUCCUGGUGUAGCGGUGAAAUGCGCAGAUAUCAGGAGGAACACCAAUUGCGAAGGCAGCUCGCUGGGACGUUACUGACGCUGAGACGCGAAAGCGUGGGGAGCAAACAGG